rnacentral:misc_RNA from 1 species
UUAAGUUCAGCGGGUGGUCCUACUCGAUUUGAGGUCAAGUUGUCAGUCAUUGUCCGAAGACGGUUUGAAGCACAGAGCUCCCGAUCAGCCACCCUCUAGUGAGGUGCCGGCGAAACACUUAUUACGCCGUACUAUGUCCAACCAAGAGUUGCACGAAUCCAUUUGAGGUGAGCCACGGUAAGCAGCAACACCCAAGUCCA